GGUGGCACAGUGGUAGAGCACUUGCCUUGCAUGCAUGAGGCCCUGGGUUAAAUUCCCCAGCACCA
rnacentral:tRNA from 1 species